ACAUUAUAGGCGCACACAGUGUCUGCGAUCUGCAAGGGCCUUAAAACGGCCCUGACUGUGGCUCGGUGUUUCUUAUCUGACGCGCCAUAAAAUUCUUAUCCCAUGCAUUCGAGACCGGUGCUAUCACCACGGCGGAAUAUGCGAGCAGUAACUGCUCCUAAUCCUCGUAAUCGCGGUCUUCACCGCGGAACAAAACGAUCAGUAAGAACCUAUCGAGGCGCGAUCUGCGUCGUCGUUAUGUGGAACGGCUGCGAUAUUGCGGUACAGUUACCUUGACACGACGAGAGCACAUCCUUGCGCAGUGCGUGAAUCGAGGAUGAAAACGGGGCCGCGCCGUGAAUGCGCGUCGACGAAUUUCUAGGCUGUGAAUGCGCGCCGCGAGAGAACACAACCGAUGUGCUAUCUCGACAGGAUGCGAAUCGAUUAACUGAUGAUCGAUCGUGCCGGUUAAAUAACACUUAACUUUUCCACUCCGCGUAGCAUAUCCUGAAUAUAUAAAUCAGCGGGCGACAUGAUGAGCGGUGAAAGGCAAAAACGACAAGCGCAGUGAGAAAUACAGAACUCGAAAGUAGGAAUUUAGGAUACCAAGUAAUAUUAGCCAAAUGGAGCAUGUCUCUCGAAAAGAGGCGAAACCAAACUGUCGCAUAACACUUGAGUGCAAUCCAAAAUGUGUAAUUCGCAAGUUUACGCACUUUGUCAGUGAGCAAGGCAUGUAUAAAAUAUCCGCCACAAGCAGUCGUUAUGGAUUCGCGUUGUCUCGAUACUCUAUGCCUCAUUUGAACUGACCGUCUAGCGUUCGAGCUUAUCUGGAACACAGAUGUUGCUACCUACAAACAAUUUUUCUACGUGCCAAGCAAUACCAUGGAGAUAUUCGAUUACGCCAUGACGUUCGCAAAAUCAACAAUAAGUGCGACAAAGCCAUCUGUCAGACGUCAAUGAAAGCCAAUCUUCUUGCGCAGCAUCGACUGCUCUUCAGCAGCAACGCGGUUCAAAGUACCGAGGGACGACGUUAAACGUGGAAAGUACCCGUGGAUGGACGUGAAACGACGAUGUAAUCACGAGUAAGUAAGAAACGAAGUAAAACGAACUUGGCGUAGAGGCGAGAUUCAAUCUCAACGGAUGGAUUCACCAUGAAACGUCACGAUUCCCGGCGCGAUUCAUCACGUGAGCGUUUUCACGCGCUCUUCACUCCUGCUAUUGCUUUCUCGCACUUGUUUGCGCGCUUCCUUCCUUCGGGAUUUUUCCCUUUGGAGUCACGAUUUUAUUUUUGUAUCACUUUUCUAUUUCCGCACUUUUUUUUCUUCCUCAUCUGUACACUUUUGUCACUUUUGGAAUAAAUUUAUGUGUUUAGAAAAA